rnacentral:lncRNA from 1 species
AACAGACUGCUUCCUACGGACCUUUGUAGUUAAGUGGUUGUAGUAAGUAAAAACAAAUUGUAAAUCCUGGACCCCGAAACCUUAACCACAGAAAUAACGGGAUGGUGUAAGACGGAGGAUAGUUUGAUACGCCUUUGUCUUAUGAGGAAUUAUGGCGACGAUGGUUAGAAUAUCCGUCUUAAUCAUUCUUUGUUUGAUUUGCGCCAACAUUUAUGCAAAAGCCACUGGCAGAAACGUGAAACGGGGCUGCGUGAUCAGUGAAAGUGAAGAGGAAUGGGAAGAGUGUGAAACCGAGGCUGGUAUGUCUCAGGAGCAUUAUCAUCAUUAUUACUAUUACUGGCAUACUUGUCAUGAUGCUUUUUGUUGAUAGGUUGUUACAGUGAAAAUCAUACCUUCAACUUCAUUGAGAUUCCGAAUGACACAUGCUUAAUGGUUAUAAAUGCGAGUUUGGAUUUUAAUGAUUAUGAUACAGUGGAAUUUGGGUUCAUGUCGAACGUUUCCAUCGCUAACCAGCCAUGUUAUUUUCAACAGCAAGACAACAUUAUAAAUGGAUUGAAAUUCUCGAGAAUAUGUAAUAUCUACAACGUCACAAAGGUUAAUGGAGCAGCAUCUGUUUACACAAUGUCGAUAAGACUUCACAGGAAUAAAGUCGUCAGGAUCAAGACCAGAUUGCAAAAUUCUGUUUAUCGAACAGUGCUAAGCCUCUGGCCAAAGUAUUUUCUGUAUGAGAAUAAUCUCCAAAUUUCAUGGUGCCAUUUAAAAGGUAAAGACAACAAAUUAUCGAAUAAAAAAAGGCCACUGCAAAAAGCCUUAAUCGAAGUAAGUGCACAUUUCUAACAAUCAACAGUAGGCCUAUUCAGAAUAUUAUGAUUCAGUUUUCCUAGCGUGGCAAUUAUAAUAAAAAGUAAACGAUGAAUUUGCUGAAUAUCUUGAGCUAAAUAACUAUUAAAAGGUACUGGCUAUACGCACAGCGGUAGCACACCUUUAGUAUCACGUGCUAAUCCACGUAAUUUUAAAGCUCGCUUUUUAAAAGCAAUCAACAAUUUUGCGGUCCUUUUAUCGUGAUUUUUUGCACAGAGUGGAUGUGAUGUUUGGCGACCUUUGAUUAAAAGACUUUUACUAUUGUCUUCUAGGCAUAACAAAGUUUUCUAUACAUCGAAAUAACGGGACACAGACAACGGGAUCUUCAGUCCUAAGGCCAAAUAAAAAACUAUAUAGGCCUACUUGUUUAGCGUCACUGCCCGACCGUGAUUUUUGGCCCGACUCUGAUAUUUUGAAACUUUUUUAUAAGCCCCCAAAACGUCUAAAUAGGCCCGGAACUUCCGAAAAAAAUGACCAAAAACGAUCGUUUUUCGUAUAUUUUUUUUCUUGCAAUAAAGAGCGCCACCAACGUUAACUUGUUAUCGUACAAAUAGUGGGGCCAGGGGGUCGAUUCACGAGUGUGAACAGAUGUUUUAAAAUAGGCAAAAAUGCCGUUUUUUGCUACAUCUAAUCGUAAAGAAAGGUCUACAGAAACCAAUAAGAGAUAGAAUUCCUAGUAUUAAGCAAAAUGUAUCGCUGUCUUGCCUGGCCUCGCUCGGCUUGUUAGCUGUAGGCAGGAGACCAACUACUAGGCCUACUACUAUGGUAGUCCUAAUAGUAGUACAGUACUGAGUAGUGGUAGUAGUAGUAGCAGUAGGUACUAUUAGUAGUACUACUACUACUUCUUUCUACUACAGCCUAGGCCUAGACACUGUGAAAUACACCGGUACUUGGUGUUGUACAGUUUCGGCGGCGACGAACAAGUUCGAUCGCGGUGAACACAUUUUGUAUUAAGUUAUGUUUUCAUUCAAAUAAUUGAAUGACUAUUAAAUAUCAUAAUAGUAAUACUGAUAAUUAUAUUAAAUAUGAUAAAUAUGCGUAGGCCUAUCAUAAUAAUAAAGUUCUUAACCGUUCUGAAUCAACAGAACAAGUCGCUGUCAUUGACUACCACAGUAAGCUUCAACAGUGCAAAACAAAAGAAGGACCCUAGAGGGAAAAAAUAUGUUAGCGACUUUAUAUUUCACUUUCACGUUCCUUGUUUUUGUUUUCUAUUUUAGUAUUAGUUAACCGUCUAAUUACUUACUGAUCUUCUCUUUUACAUUCAUUCUAUGCUUCCUUAACUUUCCGUGAUUCCUAUUUACCUACCUUUUCUUUCUUUAGUCUCCCUUUUCCUUUUAAUUACCUUUUCUUUCCUUUCCCCUUUCUUUCUAAUGCCUCCUUAUGCAUUGUUUAGCUUAAAUUACCUUUGUAAUAUUUCCUUAUCUUUCUUCCUUUUCUUUGUUUCCUAUGUAACCUUGAUUUUUCUUGUAUUUACUUUAUUUCCUGUUCUUUCCUUUUCAUUUCUUAUGCUUUUUCAUACAUAUCUCAUUUUAUUUUAUCUUAUCGUUUCUUUCAUAUCCUGAUUCUUUCUUUCUUGUCCUUUUCUU